AUUGAACGCUGGCGGCAGGCCUAACACAUGCAAGUCGAGCGAGCGGCGGACGGGUGAGUAAUGUAUGGGGACUGCCCGAUAGAGGGGGAUAACUACUGGAAACGGUGGCUAAUACCGCAUACUAUCGGAUAACCCAUAUGGGAUUAGCUAGUAGGUGGGGUAAAGGCUCACCUAGGCGACGCUCUCUAGCUGUUCUGAGAGGAUGAUCAGCAACACGGGGACUGGGACACGGCCCCGUCUCCUCCGGAGGAGGCAGAGGGAAAUAUUGCACAUGGGGGGAAAGCUUGAUGCAGCCAUGCCGCGUGUAUGAAAAAGGCCUUAGGGUUGUAAAGUACUUUCAGCGGGGAGGCGUUACUCGCAGAAGAAGCACCGGCUAACUCCGUGCCAGCAGCCGCGGUAAUAC
rnacentral:rRNA from 1 species